AACGAACGCUGGCGGCAGGCUUAACACAUGCAAGUCGAGCGCGUAGCAAUACGAGCGGCAGACGGGUGAGUAACACGUGGGAAUCUACCCAUCACUAGGGAAUAACUCAGGGAAACUUGUGCUAAUACCCUAUGCGACCGAGAGGUGAAAGAUUUAUCGGUGAUGGAUGAUCCCGCGUUGGAUUAGCUAGUUGGUGGGGUAAAGGCCUACCAAGGCGACGAUCCAUAGCUGGUCUGAGAGGAUGAUCAGCCACACUGGGACUGAGACACGGCCCAGACUCCUACGGGAGGCAGCAGUGGGGAAUAUUGGACAAUGGGCGCAAGCCUGAUCCAGCCAUGCCGCGUGAGUGAUGAAGGUCUUAGGAUUGUAAAGCUCUUUCACCGGUGAAGAUAAUGACGGUAACCGGAGAAGAAGCCCCGGCUAACUUCGUGCCAGCCGCCGCCGUAA
rnacentral:rRNA from 1 species